CCUUAUUGAGAGCGGCUGAGGGAAAGGCCCUUUGAAGCCCGGCAACCUGCACAUUGAAGCAGUGUGCAAGGUGCUAAAUCCUGCGGUGUUAACCGAAAGAUAAGG
rnacentral:ncRNA from 1 species